rnacentral:tRNA from 1 species
AGGAGUAUAUUUAAUAAUAAUAUUUAAAUUGCACUUAAAAGGUAUUGACAAGUCAAUUACUCUU